rnacentral:rRNA from 1 species
UACGUAGGGGGCAAGCGUUGUCCGGAAUCAUUGGGCGUAAAGAGCGUGUAGGCGGCUCGGUAAGUCCGCUGUGAAAGUCCAGGGCUCAACCCUGGAAUGCCGGUGGAAACUGUCGAGCUAGAGUCCGGAAGAGGCGAGUGGAAUUCCUGGUGUAGCGGUGAAAUGCGCAGAUAUCAGGAGGAACACCAAUGGCGAAGGCAGCUCGCUAGGACGGUACUGACGCUGAGACGCGAAAGCGUGGGGAGCAAACAGG